GACCCGAUGGUGUAGUGGCUAGCACGUCUGCCUUAAGUAAUAGCAGAAGGCUCCUGUUCGAUUCAGGAUCGGGUCG